rnacentral:rRNA from 1 species
UACGGAGGGUGCCAGCGUUGUUCGGAAUCAUUGGGCGUAAAGGGCGCGUAGGCGGCUUUGUAAGUCCGUUGUGAAAUCCCUCGGCUCAACCGAGGAACUGCGACGGAUACUGCUUGGCUUGAGUCCCGGAGAGGGUAGCGGAAUUCCCAGUGUAGCGGUGAAAUGCGUAGAUAUUGGGAGGAACAUCGGUGGCGAAGGCGGCUACCUGGACGGGUACUGACGCUGAUGCGCGAAAGCUAGGGGAGCAAACAGG